CAAUUCAGCUCUGAAUUUUGCACAACCCUGCUGUCCAGUCCCUGGCGCUGUCACACCCUUGUCACUUGGAGUCGACAGCAUGGACCAAAACAACAAGAACUGAAGGCAGAUGGAGAAAGUAAAGAAAAACAUGGACAGAAAGAUGAAAGCCAUGCAGGUGACCUUGGCAUUCCUGAUUGUGUUUGGUGCUACAGGGAGUGCAGGCAAUGAACCUGUGAAGUUUAAUCUGAUUGUUCCUGAGGUUCCGGU